AUGCCAAGCACUCAUUUGACACCCAGUGCAUAUGAUGAGGUGGGAAAGGAAUUCUUGAUGAGAACUGGACUUGAGUACACACCAAAGCAAGUGAGGAACAAAUGGACCAAGCUAAAACGUGAGUACAACACAUUCAAGAAGCUCAAGUUGCGUGAGACUGGAGGGGGUUGGGACUUCGAGAAAAACACUGCGAAACAAGAUAAUGAGUGGUGGAAAAAGGCAAAAGUUGACCUCCCAGGUUGUGGAAAGUUCAAGAAGCAUGGACUUCGUAAUGAAGAAGGCUUGCACAUCUUGUUUGAGGAUAUCAGUGUUGAUGGCACUGACCAUUGGAACCACGCAUCUGGUCUGCCUCCCCUCUCUAGUUCGGCAUUGAAAACUGCCUUGAAUGUUGAUGAAAUCACCCGUCUUGAUUUGGAGGAUGAUACCGAAGGGCAACCUUCUCCGACAGUAGCUAGUUCAUCUAAAGUGAGGCUUGGGGUCACGAUUCCGGAGAAGAACAAGAAACCAAAGACUGCACAAGUGAUGCAAGAGGAGAUUAGAAAGAUUACUUCUAUUGCCCAGGCUUCACACACAUCGUUUCAGUCUUUCCUAAAGAAAGAUGAGACCGUUUCUAUUGCCUCUACCAUGGAUUUAGUUCGUGAUUGUGGCGUAAUAGACGGCACUGAUGAGCAUUUCAUUGCAACUGAGCUCUUUCUGAAGAGAGAGCAAAGAGAGAUGUUCUUGCACAUGACAUCCGACUCUCGAAAGGGUUGGUUGCAUAGGAGGAAUUUGGUUAUGCAUCAACAACAUAAUAUGAACAUGCUUUGUUCGGGUGCAGCAGUCAUAUUUGGCAAGUAUUGUGAAAGUUGGGUGAUGAAGGCCGAGCCUCGGAAAUCUAUUUUGAGUGGAUUUGGAUGGCUUCAAGAGACUAUUACCACACCGGGAGAGACCUACACAAUGUUGAGAAUGACGGCAAGUGUGUUCUUUGAUCUUCAUGACUUGUUGGUACGUGACUAUGGUCUCAAAGAAACAAGCUUUGUUAGCACUUAUGAGUCUCUUGCUAUGUUCUUGUGGACAUUGGGUGGUUGUGAAUCAAAUAGAAGAACUCAAAAUCGCUUCAAACAUUCAGCGGAUACAAUCCAUCGUAAAUUCCAUGAGGUUCUACAAUGUGUAGUGAGCAUGGCAUCUCACUACCUUAAGCCACAAGACCCAAACUUCCACAUUGUGCAUGAU
rnacentral:rRNA from 1 species